rnacentral:rRNA from 1 species
UACGGAGGGUGCAAGCGUUAUCCGGAUUCACUGGGUUUAAAGGGUGCGUAGGAGGGCAGGUAAGUCAGUGGUGAAAUCCCCGAGCUUAACUUGGGAACUGCCGUUGAUACUAUCUGUCUUGAAUACCGUGGAGGUGUGCGGAAUAUGUCAUGUAGCGGUGAAAUGCUUAGAUAUGACAUAGAACACCAAUUGCGAAGGCAGCUCGCUACACGAAUAUUGACUCUGAGGCACGAAAGCGUGGGGAUCAAACAGG